UACGGGGGGUGCGAGCGUUGUCCGGAAUCACUGGGCGUAAAGGGCGCGUAGGUGGUUUGAUAAGGGUGUGGUGAAAGCCCGGGGCUCAACCCCGGGUCUGCCGUGCCGACUGUCAAACUCGAGGGCUGUAGAGGCAGACGGAAUUCCGGGUGUAGCGGUGGAAUGCGUAGAGAUCCGGAAGAACACCGGUGGCGAAGGCGGUCUGCUGGGGUCGAACUGACGCUGAGGCGCGACAGCGUGGGGAGCAAACAGG
rnacentral:rRNA from 1 species